GGGGUAUAUAAGAGCUAGAUUACUAGUUAGCAAAUGAGGGGGUAAAUAUUCCAGUGGAUACAAGCUUGGGCUCUUUUCUUGAAGCUUUCUUUCUGUCAGAGGCAUUUGCUGAUAUUGCUGACGUUGAAACAUUAAAAGAAAAUUUGAGAAGCAAUGUGCAUCCUGAAGCUGCAAGUAUUUCUCAUCGUGCUCUCUGUUGCAUUAAACCAUCUGAAAGCUACACCCAUUGAAAGUCAUCAGGUGGAAAAGCGGAAAUGCAACACUGCCACGUGUGCAACGCAGCGCCUGGCAAAUUUUUUAGUUCGUUCCAGCAACAAUUUUGGUACCAUUCUCUCAUCUACCAACGUGGGAUCCAAUACAUAUGGCAAGAGGAAUGCAGUAGAGGUUUUAAAGAGAGAGCCACUGAAUUACUUGCCCCUUUAGAGGACGAUGUAACUCUAUAGUUACUGUUUUAUGUUCUAGAGAUUUCCUGUAUAAUUUAACACUGCCUUUUUCAUUUCCAGUGUGAAUAUAUGGUCUGUGUAUCUGAUGUUUGUUGCCAGGACAUAUACAUUGUCAAAAGAUUGUUUUAUAUACAGUACUAAGGUCCCGUAAUAAAAAUAUGGUAUCUUUUAAAAUGAAAUGUUUUUACUAUAGAUUUUUAUUUUAAAGCAUAAAAAAAUCAUUUUGGGACCUAUAUCUCAGUGGCACAGGUUUAAGAACAAAGGAGAAAACAGUAGUUUGAACCUCAGUAAAUUGUAAACAGCUAAUAAUAAAGUUAUUAUUCUUAACAUUAGAAAAUCAGUAAUUGGGCUGGGCGUGGUGGUUCACACCCGUAAUCCCAGCACUUUGGGAGGCCGAGGUGGGCAGAUCACGAGGUCAAGAGUUCGACACCAGCCUGACCAACAUGAUGAAACCCUGUCUCUACUAAAAAUACAAAACUCGGCUGGGCAUGGUGGCACAUGCCUGUAAUCCCAGCUCUUCAGGAGGCUGAGGCAGGAGAAUCACUUGAACCCAGGAGGGGGAGGUUGCAGUGAGCCGAGACUGCGCCACUGCACUCCAGCCUAGGCGACAGGGCAAGACUCUGUCUCAAAUUAAAAAAAAAGAAAGAAAGAAAGAAAAAAAAUUAGUAAUUGUAAGUACCCCUGUUAAGCAAAUUAGUAAAUGUAAGUACCCGUGUUAAGCAAUUCCUUUUUGCAGUAGAUUUCUGAAAUGAUAGGAUGCUGUUUUAAAAACAAAGAAAAUCCUGCUCCUGACUCAGUCAAAAUAUUUUUUAAAGUCCAUUGUUUGUUGUGCUUGCUGGUUCUAAGAGGCUAUUUAAAAAUAUAAAACCACUUUGUAUCCAUGAGAGUUUCAUUGUGUGUUAGCAGCAGUGAGCUUCUGUUAAAUGUAUAUGCCCUUUAUUCUGUUUAAGUGGCUUUCAGCAAACCUCAAUCGUGUUUUUAUGCAGGGUAUUGCAAAACAACUUGUGUUCUAUUAAUCAUGUCUUCAGUUAAAAGACCACAGACGUCUGGAAA